rnacentral:snRNA from 1 species
GUUGAAAUUGUAUUAAUGCAAUAU